rnacentral:rRNA from 1 species
UACGUAGGGUGCAAGCGUUGUCCGGAAUUAUUGGGCGUAAAGAGCUCGUAGGCGGUUUGUCGCGUCUGCUGUGAAAAUCCAGGGCUUAACCCUGGACCUGCAGUGGGUACGGGCAGACUAGAGUGCGGUAGGGGAGAUCGGAAUUCCUGGUGUAGCGGUGAAAUGCGCAGAUAUCAGGAGGAACACCCAUGGCGAAGGCAGCAAACUGGGCAUCAUCUGACGCUGAGGCGCGAAAGCGUGGGUAGCAAACAGG